rnacentral:lncRNA from 1 species
AUGGGGCAUCCCUGGAAGGAUGGUUUUGGGGCUGGGGCAUCCCUGGGACGAUGAUUUUUGGGGCUGGGGCAUCCUUUGGGAUGAUGGUUUUGGGGAUGGGAUGUCCCAUAGGAUCAUAGUUUUGGGGAUGGGAUGUCCAAUGGGAUGAGGGUUUCAGGGAUGGAGUGUCCCUGGGACGAUGGUUUUGUGGAUGGGACAUCCCUUGGGACGGUGGUUUUGAGGAUGGGGCAUCUCUGGGAUGAUAGUUUUGGACAUUGGGUGUCCCUGGAAGAUGGUUUUGGGAAUGGGAUGUCCCUGGGAGGAUGAUUUGGGGGCUGGGGAGUGUUUGUGUCUGGGGCCGUCCUGGUCGCCUGGGCAGGGGAUGGUGCUGGGGGCCGCGGCCCAGCCCCGUCCCCUCCUGACGCCCGGUGCCCCAGGGCUACACCCCGCUGCACAUCGCGGCGCUCCACGGGCACCGCCAGAUCGUGGACCUGCUCGUCGAGCGCUUCGGGGCCAAGCAGGACCUGCGGGAUUACAGCGGGCGCCUGCCCGGGCACUACCUGAGUGCCGCAGCCGCGCAGGAUGGGGCCACCGAGACCCCCCAGGUGCCAGCUGCACGGGGCAGGAGCCGGCGGCUGGCCUGCCUGCUGCUGCCCAAGGCCGGCGGCCAGGCUCGACGGCGCUGGGGCUCGGCCGAGGACCUCGCCGGCCCAGAGGAGGAUCGGGCUCCGGCGCAGCACCUCGCACCGCCCAUGGCCUACCGGCCCGUGCGCAAGUUCUCCCGCUGACCCUCGGCUCCCUGCACCCUGCCCAGGACCCUGCCCUUGCCCAGCACCGGCUCCGGGACAAUCCUGGGCCAGGGCUGGGUGCCAGGGCAGGGUGCACAGCUGGGCACCGUGGGACAGACACCGAUGGCUCUUGGCACUGCAAUAAAACCUUUGUGCACUGCAUCCCCCUGUGCACUGUGUCUCCAUGCACGCUGUGUCCCCGGGUGCAAUGUGUCCCUGUGUGGGUGCUCGUGGGGCCGGGGGUCCCCUGGUGCCCUGCAGCUCUGCCUGGCUCCAGUGCCGCAGCUCUGGGGGCAUCUGGGCAGGGGAGAGUGGGGAGAGGAUGCACCCUGCCAGUCCCUACCCAAAAACCAG